ACAUGCAGUCGAGCGGACAGAUGGGAGCUUGCUCCCUGAUGUUAGCGGCGGACGGGUGAGUAACACGUGGGUAACCUGCCUGUAAGACUGGGAUAACUCCGGGAAACCGGGGCUAAUACCGGAUGGUUGUUUGAACCGCAUGGUUCAAACAUAAAAGGUGGCUUCGGCUACCACUUACAGAUGGACCCGCGGCGCAUUAGCUAGUUGGUGAGGUAACGGCUCACCAAGGCAACGAUGCGUAGCCGACCUGAGAGGGUGAUCGGCCACACUGGGACUGAGACACGGCCCAGACUCCUACGGGAGGCAGCAGUAGGGAAUCUUCCGCAAUGGACGAAAGUCUGACGGAGCAACGCCGCGUGAGUGAUGAAGGUUUUCGGAUCGUAAAGCUCUGUUGUUAGGGAAGAACAAGUACCGUUCGAAUAGGGCGGUACCUUGACGGUACCUAACCAGAAAGCCACGGCUAACUACGUGCCAGCAGCCGCGGUAAUACGUAGGUGGCAAGCGUUGUCCGGAAUUAUUGGGCGUAAAGGGCUCGCAGGCGGUUUCUUAAGUCUGAUGUGAAAGCCCCCGGCUCAACCGGGGAGGGUCAUUGGAAACUGGGGAACUUGAGUGCAGAAGAGGAGAGUGGAAUUCCACGUGUAGCGGUGAAAUGCGUAGAGAUGUGGAGGAACACCAGUGGCGAAGGCGACUCUCUGGUCUGUAACUGACGCUGAGGAGCGAAAGCGUGGGGAGCGAACAGGAUUAGAUACCCUGGUAGUCCACGCCGUAAACGAUGAGUGCUAAGUGUUAGGGGGUUUCCGCCCCUUAGUGCUGCAGCUAACGCAUUAAGCAC
rnacentral:rRNA from 1 species